AAAUUAGAAAGCGAAAGAUUGCGUUUAGUUUCGACCUAAAUUUUGGUUCCAAACCUCUAGUU
rnacentral:tRNA from 1 species